UACGAAGGGGCUAGCGUUGUUCGGAAUCACUGGGCGUAAAGGGCGCGUAGGCGGCUAUUCAAGUCGGGUGUGAAAGCCCUGGGCUCAACCCAGGAAGUGCACUCGAAACUGGCGGGCUAGAGUAUCGGAGAGGUUGGUGGAAUUCUCGGUGUAGAGGUGAAAUUCGUAGAUAUCGAGAGGAACACCGGUGGCGAAGGCGGCCAACUGGACGAAUACUGACGCUGAGACACGAAAG
rnacentral:rRNA from 1 species